CUUUCCCAACCCCCAGGCUCCAGAAGACCGAACGCUCUCCAAACAGCCUGCACUUUCACGUCACCGGAUCUCCCAUUUCUCAUCUCUGCCUGCAAGAACCAUUUUCGAAGAUAAGAAAGCCAAAAUUCAGAGAAGUGAAUUGUUCAAGAUCACACAUCAAGUAUUGGAGGGUUACAUGUUAAAGGAGUUUACAACAGGAUCCAAGGAGCUGAUACAAAUCACAGAAAGGUCAAGACUGUCAACCUAGAGCCAGUAAUCCUUUUAAUGGAUGCUAAUUGAGGGAAAGGAGUUAUUGGGGAAAACUCAGCAGGCCAGAGGGAAGAGAUGAGGAAGGAAAAAGAGAAGGAGAGUGUAACAGAGAGAAGGAAAGAGAGAGGAGAAGAGCUAGCAAGGAGAGAACAGAGGAGGCAAGAGAGAGAAGAGGAGACCAGAGAGAGCAGAGAGCGCAGAGAGUGCAGAGAGCAAAACUCCUAUAUUUUUCCUACUACUUCCAUCAUUUAAUUUUCUGAUGUUUAAAUAGAUGUUCUGCUUGGAAUUUAUUCUGAAGUAAAGAUGAAGAAAGAACGCAAUUCCGUCCCACUCCAGAUGAUUAUAAUAAAUUGUAAAACAUGAUUUAAUGUUUCAGCCCAACUCAUUUGAAAUACUGCUUUUUAUUCCCAUUUUUGAUCAAUAUCUUAACUCUCUGGUAUAUCCUAUUGAUCUAUCUUGUCAUUCUUGAUACCAAACCAAUUUAAUUUUCUGUAGAUUUAUAGUAUAUUUUAAUACCUAUAUUUCCUAGUACUUUAUGGUUAUACUUCUAUUUGUAUGUUUAUUUCCAUGCCACUCCAUUAUAAGCUUAUAAUAUUUUCUCCUCUAAUGUCUUUCCAGCUUAAUACAUAAUCAGUUUUUGUAAAUGUUACAUAAGUAAUUGAAACCAAGUUUACUUGCUGAUAAAGUUUCUAAAUAGCUUUCAGGUGAAGAAUGAUAAUUGUGUUGAUAAUUUCUUCUAUGCUGAUAUUAUAUGUUUAUGUUCUGAAAGAGUAAAUUCUGAAAGAGAAAUCUUAAAAUCUCUAAAUGUGAUGGUGGAUGUGUCAUAUUCUACCAGUUUUUCAAUUCUGUACAAUAUCACAUAAUACAAAAGAGCUUAUGAUUAUCUUGCUAUGGGUAGAUAUAAGUAACACAUCAGCAACUGUCCCUUUAAAAACAACUAAUUUUAGGCCAGCACUGUGGCAUGGAGAGUAAAGCAGCCGCCUGCAGUGCCGGCAUCCCAUAUGGAUGCCAGUUGAAGUCCAAGCUGCUCCACUUCUGAUCCAGCUCUCUGCCACGGCCUGGGAAAGCAGUAGAAGAUGGCCCAAGUUCUUCGUCUCCUGCAGCCAUGUGGGAGACCCGGAAGAAGCUCCUGGCUCCUGGCUUUAGAUAGGCACAGUUCCGUUGUGGCUAAUUGGGGAGUGAACCUGUGGAUAGAAGACCUCUCUCUCUCUCUCUCUCUCUCUCUCUGCCUCUGCCUCUGCCUCUCUCUAACUCUGACUUUCAAGUAAAAUAAAUAAUUCUUAAAAAAAAGGACUAACUUUUCUUGAAGUUUUUUUUUUUUUUUAAGAUUUUAUUUAUUUAUUUGAGAGGUAGGAGGC